GAUAUUUAACUUUGGCGUUUAAGCACGGCGUAGGUGGUUCGUUAGUAGAUUGAAUGCCCCGCCUCCACCUAGGCACUGCAUCCAACUGACUGACUAGAGUAUCGUAGAUGGGUGGUGGAAUUUCCUGGUAAGCGGUGCAAUGCGUUGAUAUAUGGAAGGAACACCAGUGGGGAUAGGGGACCCCCCCGCCCUGAUAUUGUCCUUAAGUGAGAAAGGAUGGGGAGCAAACCAGAAUUAGAUUCCCUGGUUGUUCUACUCCGUAACCGAUGUUAACUAGCCGUUGGGAGCCUUGAGGUCUUAGUGGCGCAGCUAAAGCAUUAAGUUGACCGCCUGGGGAGUACGGCCGCAAGGUUAAAAAUCAAAUGAAAUGAAGGGGGGCCGCACCAGCGGUGGGGCAUGUGGUUUAAUUUGAAGCAACGCGAAGAACCUUACCAGGCCUUGACAUCCAAUGAACUUUAUAGAGAUAGAAUGGUGCCUUUGGGAACAUUGAACCAGGUGACGCAUGGCGGUUGUCAGUUCUCGUCUUGAGAUGUUGGGUUAAGUCCCGUAACGAGCGCCACCCCUGUCCUUUGUUACCAGCACGUAAUGGUGGGCACUCUAAGGAGACUGCCGGUGACAAACCGGAGGAAGGUGGGGAUGACGUCAAGUCAUCAUGGCCCUUACGGCCUGGGCUACACACGUGCUACAAUGGUCGGUACAGAGGGUUGCCAAGCCGCGAGGUGGAGCUAAUCCCACAAAACCGAUCGUAGUCCGGAUCGCAGUCUGCAACUCGACUGCGUGAAGUCGGAAUCGCUAGUAAUCGCGAAUCAGAAUGUCGCGGUGAAUACGUUCCCGGGCCUUGUACACACCGCCCGUCACGCGCAUGGGAGUGGGUUUCACCAGAAGUAGGUAGCCUAACCUUAAGGAGGACGGUUACCCAACGGGGUUUCCAGGAGGU
rnacentral:rRNA from 1 species